CGCAUAAAUGUUUAAAAUUAAUAACAGUGCUAUUUUGACAAUUGUUUUUUUCAUUUUUUACAUGAGGAAACGUAUCCGCUUGUAAUCUGAUUCUGUAUUCUGUAUUUUUCUUUUGGAAAAAUCGUUCUCAUUUUUCUUUGAUCGGAAGCAAGGAAUUUGAUUCGAUCAGAAAAUUGAGAUAUGGAUGGGAAUAAUUGGAGGGCUGCUCAGGCUCAAGCUCAAGCUCAGGGGGGUGGUGAAGGUGCUUCCGCUGCCGGACCUCCCACCGGAGCUAUGGAUUCCGGUGAUUGGCGCACUCAACUUUUACCCGAUUCUCGUCAAAGGAUCGUCAACAAGAUAAUGGAGACCUUAAAGAGACAUCUUCCUGUCUCUGGGCAAGAAGGAGUUCAGGAGCUUAAGAAAAUUGCAGUGAGGUUUGAGGAAAAGAUCUAUACGGCUGCUACAAGUCAGCAAGAUUAUCUGCGGAAAAUAUCUUUGAAGAUGCUAACUAUGGAGACCAAAUCUCAAAAUCCUAUUAAUAAUUCUAUGCAGCCCAAUGCUGCAAGUAGUGGUCAGAAUGCCCUUGGGCCAGGAUCCCACAGCAUGCAGUCCCAAGUUAACAGCCAAGCACAGCAACUUCCUGUACCUAUGGUGGCCAAUCAAACUCAAACACGGCAACCACUGUUGCAGCAGAACAUUCAGAACAACAUGGCAUCAACUGGGCUGCAAAAUUCUGCAAGUUUGACUCCUGCACUUCCUCCUGUGAGCAAUUUGACGCAGGCUACCAUGCCAAAUGUCAUGGGCCAGAAUGCAAAUUUGCAGACCAUGCAAAACAUGCAAAAUGUUGGUCAAAACUCCGUAGGAAAUGCCAUUGGGCAAGGCAUGCCUUCCAAUAUGGUUGCUAAUUCUCAGAGGCAAAUGCAGGGGAGACAACAGGUUGUUUCUCAACAGCAACAGCAGCAGUCCCAGACAUCACAACAAUAUCUUUACCAGCAGCAGAUGCAUCAUCAAAUGAUGAAGCAGAAAUUUCAGCCAGGAAGCACGCAACAGUCCAUGAUGCAAUCUCACAUGCAACAGCAGCAGCAGCAACAGCCGCAGGACCAGCAGCAGCAGCAACAACAACAACAACAACAACAACAACAGCAACAAAACCUUCUACAGCCUACUCAGAUACAAUCUUCUCAGCAAACUAUGAUGCAACCUUCUUCAAUGCAAUCGACUUCUUUGUCCAACCUUCAGCAGAACCAACAGUCUACUGUUCAACAGUCAACUCAGUCUGUACUUCACCAACGAUCACAAUCAGUUAUGAGACAGCAGCAGGCUCCCAUGCUUCAUCAACAGCAAUCAGCAAUGCUACAGCAACCAAUUUUACCAGCCCAACAGCACCAGCAACAACAGCUGAUUGCACAGCAGGCAAAUGCUACAAAUCUCCAGCAAAACCAACUGAUAGGCCAACAAAACACAAUGCCUGAUGUGCAGCAGAGGAUAGUGGGCCAACAGAACAACUAUAGCAGUCUGCAGCAGCAGCAGUUACUUAAUCAGCAAAACAAUCUUCAAAAUAUGCAUCAGCAGCAGUUGGGCUCUCAAAGUAAUAUUGCUGGGGUCCAGCAGCAACAAUUGACUGGAAGUCAACAACCUGGCAACUCUGGCGUGCCAUCUAAUCAGCACCCUAUCCAUAUGUUGCAACAAUCAAAAGUUCCUCUACAGCAACAAAUGCUGCAGGGUGGUACAACCUUGUUACCAAGUCAAGGUCAACAAUCUCAGUCGCAGCCAGCGCAACAGCAAAUGAUGUCUCAGAGUCAAUCACAACCAGGACAAUUACAACCACCUUUGGGUUUGCAGCAACAGACAAAUCAAUUGCAAAGGGAAAUGCAACAGAGGCUUCAAACAUCAGGCCCCUUGCUUCAACAGCAGAAUGUAAUGGAACAGCAGAAGCAGCUAUAUCAACCACAAAGAGCCGCACCAGAAGCCUCAUCAACAUCUUUAGAUUCUACAGCUCAGACGGGAAAUGCAAAUGCAGCUGAUUUGCAGGAGGAGGUUUACCAGAAGAUCAAGUCUAUGAGGGAGAUGUAUUUACCAGAGCUCAAUGAUCUAUACCAGAAAAUUGCUGCUAAAGUGCAGCAGCAUGAUUCUCUUCCUCAGCGCCCUCAGACUGAGCAAAUUGAAAAGCUCAAGGUGUUCAAGAUGACGCUGGAACGUGUUGUGGUAUUCUUGCGGCUUAACAAGCAUGAUAUUCAACCUUCUCACAAGGAGAAACUGCUUCAGGUUGAGAAGCACAUAAGUUUCUUUCUUAAUUCCAAUAGGCCGCGCAAACCUACUCCUCCAUUGCAAGGGCAACUUCCUCAGCCUUCCAUGCAGCUUCAGCAACCACAAUCUCUUGAUGGCCAAGGUAAUCCACCUAUGCAACCCGUACAGGGUUCCAUGGCAGCAAUGCAGCAGAAUAAUAUCACCAACUUGCAGCAUAAUUCCUUGUCUGGUGUACCAACAAUUUCCAACUCUCAGCAACACAUGGUAAAUACAGUACAGUCUGGUUCCACUGUGGAUUUGGGACAGGGUAAUUCAUUGAACUCACUGCAGCAGGUGGCUACUGGCUCUUUACAACAGAAUCCUGUUAACAGUCCUCAACAGGUAAACAUAAGCUCAUUAAAUUCACACAGUGGAACAAACCCUGUGCAGGCAAACCUUGGUUCCCUACAGCCAAACUCAAACGUCCUACAGCAGUCACUUCCUAAACAGCACGAGCAGCAAAUGUUGCAGAACCAGCAAUUAAGACAGCAGUACCACCAGCGGCAGAUGCAGCAGCAACUUUAUAAUAGACAGCAGUUCAUGCAACAGCAGCAAGCAAAGCAACAGCAGACCGCGCAAUUGCCAGCCCACCAGAUGUCACAGCUUCACCAGAUGAAUGAUGCUAAUGACCUAAAGAUGAGGCAGCAAAUGGGACUGAAACCGGGAGUUUUACAGCAACAGCAGUCAGUUGGCCAGCGUGUCGGAUCUCAUCAUCCACAAUUGAAGCCAGGGAUCUCUUCACCUCAAAUACAUCAGGCACUAUCUCCUCAGGUUACCCAACAUCCUUCUCCGCAAAUUGACCAACAGAAUAUGUUGGCAUCUCUUACCAAAAGUGGGACUCCUCUCCUAUCCGCAAGCUCACCAUUUGUUGUCCCAUCUCCUUCAACUCCCUUGGCUCCAUCUCCAAUGCCAGGGGAUUCGGAAAAAGUUAGUGCUGGCCUUGCAUUACAUACAACGGCUGGAAAUAUAAUGCAUCAGCAAGCUACGGUUGCUUCUGCACCUGCCCAAUCCCUUGCAAUUGGUACUCCUGGGAUAUCAGCCUCGCCUUUGCUUGCUGAGUUUACUAGUCUGGAUGGUACACAUGCGAAUGUCUCAGCCGCUGUUUCUGGCAAGUCAAGCGUUGAACAACCAUUGGAGCGCUUGAUGAAAGUGGUUAAAAACAUGUCCCCCAAAGCAUUGAAUUCGUCAGUUAGUGACAUCAGUUCAGUUGUCAGUAUGAUUGACAGAAUAGCAGGAUCUGCACCAGGAAAUGGAUCAAGAGCAGCUGUUGGCGAAGAUUUGGUUGCCAUGACCAAAUGUCGUCUCCAAGCGAGAAAUUACUUUACACAGGAUGGAGCUACAGGAACAAAGAAAAUGAAGCGAUACACAACUUCGAAUGUUGUUUCAUCAAGCAGCAGUGUAAAUGAUAGUUUCUGGCAGUUGCAUUGUUCUGAAGCAUCUGAAUUAGAGUCAACAGCAACAUCCAGUGUCAAAAGACCUAGACUUGAGAAAAACAAAAAUACAAAUUGAGAACAUUCCAAGCAUUGGCAGAAUACAGGACAACAGGUUAAUCAUGCACUGGUUGAAGAGAUACAGAAUAUCAAUCGGCAGCUUAUCGACACUGUUGUAGAAAUUAGUGACAAAGGUGUUGAUCCAAGUGCAGUUGCUUCUGCAACAGAGGGUGGUGAAGGCAUUACUGUAAAGUGUUCCUUCACUGCCGUUGCAUUGAGUCCAAACUUAAAGUCACAGUAUGCUUCUGCACAGAUGUCUCCGAUUCAGCCGUUGAGAUUGCUCGUUCCAGCUAAUUAUCCAAAUUGCUCUCCAGUUUUGUUGGACAAGUUUCCAGUUGAAGUCAGUAAGGAGUAUGAAGAUCUAUCUAUGAAGGCCAAAUCAAGAUUUAGUGUCUCUUUGCGAAGUCUUUCACAGCCAAUGACUUUAAAAGACAUAGCAAGGACUUGGGAUGUCUGUGCUCGCGCUGUAAUUUCUGAAUAUGCACAACAAAGUGGUGGUGGGACCUUCAGCUCAAAGUAUGGGUCUUGGGAGAAUUGUUUGAGUGCAGCAUGAUCAAACAUCAAUCUCUGAGAUUGUCUUCAUCUUUGGCUUUGCUCUCCUGCUGUCUUGAUCCACCCUUUGUCUUUGCUCCUUCUGUGGGUCCCAUUUACUGGCUGCAUAUCGGCAUCUUGAACUGAAUGCCUAAAAUCCUCUGUAUAUGCUGGUUGUUACUGAAUAAAUUUUUGCUCUCCAUUGAGUUGUUUAUAAUCAAGUGUACGAAGUUUGCCUGUUGAGUUUGUUGUUUACUUAAAACUGGCAAUUCUGUGCAGUGUAUUUCUGAACUUUAUGAAUGAAAAGGUUUUAAAUUA